GUUCUAGAUGUAUAUAGAGAGAGAUGAGAGAGUGGGCUAAAGCUCAUUUAACAAAAAAUAAAAUAAGAAACAAAGAGAAAAAGUGGGCCAAGGACCCAUUUGCCAAAAACAUAAAUUAAGGACCUUGGGUUAGAGAGAAAACACACAACAGUAGCAUCAAAUAAAAAAUAAUUGGCUUGCCUAUAUACUGGAGAAGAAAAUCGAAGGAGGAAGAAAAAGAUGGUGGUUUGACAGGAGAUUCCUUUUAGGAUUAAGAAAAUUCAGGUGAUGGUGAGGAUUUCAUUAGCUAGAGCAUUCAAGUUGGCAUAUUCGUGGAAAUGCAGGUGACAAUGAGGAUUCGUUAGCUAAAGCAUUUGAGUUGGAAUAUUCCUAGUGAGCCCCACACUUGUUUACAUGGACAAUAGUUUAUUUAUUUGUUAUGUUUUUUUUCUUGAAAAUUCUUAGAGUCCUUCCAUAGUCAUUUUCUUAGAGUUUAAGUAUCUAUUGUUAUUAUGGACUUGUGGAGUAUUUGACUUCUUCUCAUAUUUUGGAGAUGAAUUUAGUACUGUUAUUUCACUGUGAAUAGGUUGUUAAUGGUAUUGGUGCAUAGUUAAUAGUAUUGGUGCAUUACUGGUGGUAUUGGUGUGUUC